UACGUAGGGACCAAGCGUUGUUCGGAUUUACUGGGCGUAAAGGGCGCGUAGGCGGCAAUUCAAGUCAGCUGUGAAAUCUCCGGGCUUAACUCGGAACGGUCAGCUGAUACUGCUUUGCUAGAGUGCAGAAGGGGCAAUCGGAAUUCUUGGUGUAGCGGUGAAAUGCGUAGAUAUCAGGAGGAACACCUGUGGUGUAGACAGCUUACUGGACCACGACUGACGCUGAGACACGAAAGCGUGGGUAGCAAACAGG
rnacentral:rRNA from 1 species